rnacentral:rRNA from 1 species
UGGAGGGCAAGUCUGGUGCCAGCAGCCGCGGUAAUUCCAGCUCCAAUAGCGUAUAUUAAAGUUGUUGCAGUUAAAAAGCUCGUAGUUGAAUUUCGGGGUUAGUAGGUUGGUCGUGCCUCUGGUAUGUACUGGCUUURCUGAUUCCUCCUUCUUGAAGAACCGUAAUGCCAUUAAUUUGGUGUUGCGGGGAAACAGGACUGUUACUUUGAAAAA